rnacentral:rRNA from 1 species
CCCUUAGACGUUCUGGGCCGCACGCGCGCUACACUGACGAAGGCAACGAGCUUUCCUUUACCGAAAGGUACGGGUAAUCUUUUGAAACUUCGUCGUGCUGGGGAUAGAUCCUUGCAAUUUUUGAUCUUAAACGAGGAAUGCCUAGUAAGCGCAAGUCAUCAACUUGCGUUGAUUACGUCCCUGCCCUUUGUACACACCGCCCGUCGCUACUACCGAUUGAAUGGUUUAGUGAGACCCUCGGAUUCGUCCCAGCACAGUGGGUUUCUGCUGAGCUGGUGCGCGGAGAAGACGGUCGAACUUGAUCAUUUAGAGGAAGUAAAAGUCGUAACA